GCCAAGUAGCGUGCAGGAUGACGGCCCUUGUGGUUGUAAACUGCUUUUAGUCGGGAAUAAAAUGAGGGACGCGUCCCUCAUUGCAUGUACCGUCAGAAAAAGGACCGGCUAAUUCCGUGCCAGCAGCCGCGGUAAUACGGAAGGUCCGGGCGUUAUCCGGAUUUAUUGGGUUUAAAGGGAGCGCAGGCGGAAGAUUAAGUCAGCUGUGAAAUACGGUGGCUCAACCAUCGGGCUGCAGUUGAAACUGGUUUUCUUGAGUUCGCACAGGGAUGCCGGAAUUCAUGGUGUAGCGGUGAAAUGCUCAGAUAUCAUGAAGAACUCCGAUCGCGAAGGCAGGCAUCCGGAGCGCGACUGACGCUGAGGCUCGAAAGUGCGGGUAUCAAACAGGAUUAGAUACCCUGGUAGUCCGCACGGUAAACGAUGGAUACCCGCGGUUUGCGAUAUAUUGUAAGCCGCCAAGCGAAAGCGUUAAGUAUCCCACCUGGGGAGUACGCCGGCAACGGUGAAACUCAAAGGAAUUGACGGGGGCCCGCACAAGCGGAGGAACAUGUGGUUUAAUUCGAUGAUACGCGAGGAACCUUACCCGGGCUUGAACUGCAGCUGCAUGGGGCAGAGAUGCCCCUUCC
rnacentral:rRNA from 1 species